GGUUAAGCGACUAAGCGUACACGGUGGAUGCCCUGGCAGUCAGAGGCGAUGAAGGACGUGCUAAUCUGCGAUAAGCGUCGGUAAGGUGAUAUGAACCGUUAUAACCGGCGAUUUCCGAAUGGGGAAAACCCAGUGUGUUUCGACACACUAUCAUUAACUGAAUCCAUAGGUUAAUGAGGGCGAACCGGGGGAACUGAAACAUCUAAGUACCCCGAGGAAAAGAAAUCAACCGAGAUUCCCCCAGUAGCGGCGAGCGAACGGGGAGGAGCCCAGAGCCUGAAUCAGUGUGUGUGUUAGUGGAAGCGUCUGGAAAGGCGCGCGAUACAGGGUGACAGCCCCGUACACAAAAAUGCACAUGCUGUGAGCUCGAUGAGUAGGGCGGGACACGUGGUAUCCUGUCUGAAUAUGGGGGACCAUCCUCCAAGGCUAAAUACUCCUGACUGACCGAUAGUGAACCAGUACCGUGAGGGAAAGGCGAAAAGAACCCCGGCGAGGGGAGUGAAAAAGAACCUGAAACCGUGUACGUACAAGCAGUGGGAGCACAGAGCAAUCUGUGUGACUGCGUACCUUUGUAUAAUGGGUCAGCGACUUAUAUUCUGUAGCAAGGUUAACCGAAUAGGGGAGCCGAAGGGAAACCGAGUCUUAACUGGGCGUUAAGUUGCAGGGUAUAGACCCGAAACCCGGUGAUCUAGCCAUGGGCAGGUUGAAGGUUGGGUAACACUAACUGGAGGACCGAACCGACUAAUGUUGAAAAAUUAGCGGAUGACUUGUGGCUGGGGGUGAAAGGCCAAUCAAACCGGGAGAUAGCUGGUUCUCCCCGAAAGCUAUUUAGGUAGCGCCUCGUGAAUUCAUCUCCGGGGGUAGAGCACUGUUUCGGCAAGGGGGUCAUCCCGACUUACCAACCCGAUGCAAACUGCGAAUACCGGAGAAUGUUAUCACGGGAGACACACGGCGGGUGCUAACGUCCGUCGUGAAGAGGGAAACAACCCAGACCGCCAGCUAAGGUCCCAAAGUCAUGGUUAAGUGGGAAACGAUGUGGGAAGGCCCAGACAGCCGGGAUGUUGGCUUAGAAGCAGCCAUCAUUUAAAGAAAGCGUAAUAGCUCACUGGUCGAGUCGGCCUGCGCGGAAGAUGUAACGGGGCUAAACCAUGCACCGAAGCUGCGGCAGCGACACUGUGUGUUGUUGGGUAGGGGAGCGUUCUGUAAGCCUGUGAAGGUGUGCUGUGAGGCAUGCUGGAGGUAUCAGAAGUGCGAAUGCUGACAUAAGUAACGAUAAAGCGGGUGAAAAGCCCGCUCGCCGGAAGACCAAGGGUUCCUGUCCAACGUUAAUCGGGGCAGGGUGAGUCGACCCCUAAGGCGAGGCCGAAAGGCGUAGUCGAUGGGAAACAGGUUAAUAUUCCUGUACUUGGUGUUACUGCGAAGGGGGGACGGAGAAGGCUAUGUUGGCCGGGCGACGGUUGUCCCGGUUUAAGCGUGUAGGCUGGUUUUCCAGGCAAAUCCGGAAAAUCAAGGCUGAGGCGUGAUGACGAGGCACUACGGUGCUGAAGCAACAAAUGCCCUGCUUCCAGGAAAAGCCUCUAAGCAUCAGGUAACAUCAAAUCGUACCCCAAACCGACACAGGUGGUCAGGUAGAGAAUACCAAGGCGCUUGAGAGAACUCGGGUGAAGGAACUAGGCAAAAUGGUGCCGUAACUUCGGGAGAAGGCACGCUGAUAUGUAGGUGAAGUCCCUCGCGGAUGGAGCUGAAAUCAGUCGAAGAUACCAGCUGGCUGCAACUGUUUAUUAAAAACACAGCACUGUGCAAACACGAAAGUGGACGUAUACGGUGUGACGCCUGCCCGGUGCCGGAAGGUUAAUUGAUGGGGUCAGCGCAAGCGAAGCUCUUGAUCGAAGCCCCGGUAAACGGCGGCCGUAACUAUAACGGUCCUAAGGUAGCGAAAUUCCUUGUCGGGUAAGUUCCGACCUGCACGAAUGGCGUAAUGAUGGCCAGGCUGUCUCCACCCGAGACUCAGUGAAAUUGAACUCGCUGUGAAGAUGCAGUGUACCCGCGGCAAGACGGAAAGACCCCGUGAACCUUUACUAUAGCUUGACACUGAACAUUGAGCCUUGAUGUGUAGGAUAGGUGGGAGGCUUUGAAGUGUGGACGCCAGUCUGCAUGGAGCCGACCUUGAAAUACCACCCUUUAAUGUUUGAUGUUCUAACGUGGACCCGUGAUCCGGGUUGCGGACAGUGUCUGGUGGGUAGUUUGACUGGGGCGGUCUCCUCCUAAAGAGUAACGGAGGAGCACGAAGGUUGGCUAAUCCUGGUCGGACAUCAGGAGGUUAGUGCAAUGGCAUAAGCCAGCUUGACUGCGAGCGUGACGGCGCGAGCAGGUGCGAAAGCAGGUCAUAGUGAUCCGGUGGUUCUGAAUGGAAGGGCCAUCGCUCAACGGAUAAAAGGUACUCCGGGGAUAACAGGCUGAUACCGCCCAAGAGUUCAUAUCGACGGCGGUGUUUGGCACCUCGAUGUCGGCUCAUCACAUCCUGGGGCUGAAGUAGGUCCCAAGGGUAUGGCUGUUCGCCAUUUAAAGUGGUACGCGAGCUGGGUUUAGAACGUCGUGAGACAGUUCGGUCCCUAUCUGCCGUGGGCGCUGGAGAACUGAGGGGGGCUGCUCCUAGUACGAGAGGACCGGAGUGGACGCAUCACUGGUGUUCGGGUUGUCAUGCCAAUGGCACUGCCCGGUAGCUAAAUGCGGAAGAGAUAAGUGCUGAAAGCAUCUAAGCACGAAACUUGCCCCGAGAUGAGUUCUCCCUGACCCUUUAAGGGUCCUGAAGGAACGUUGAAGACGACGACGUUGAUAGGCCGGGUGUGUAAGCGCAGCGAUGCGUUGAGCUAACCGGUACUAAUGAACCGUGAGGCUUAACCUU
rnacentral:rRNA from 1 species